AGAGUUUGAUCCUGGCUCAGGAUGAACGCUAGCGGCAGGCUUAACACAUGCAAGUCGAGGGGCAGCACGGGUAGCAAUACCUGGUGGCGACCGGCGCAAGGGUGCGUAACGCGUGAGCAACAUGCCCUAUACAGGGGGAUAAUCCAGGGAAACUUGGUCUAAUAUCCCAUAGUAUUUAGAGGAGGCAUCUUCUAUAAAUUAAAGCUUCGGUGGUAUAGGAUUGGCUCGCGUGACAUUAGCUAGAUGGUGAGGUAACGGCUCACCAUGGCAAUGAUGUCUAGGGGUUCUGAGAGGAAGGCCCCCCACACUGGGACUGAGACACGGCCCAGACUCCUACGGGAGGCAGCAGUGAGGAAUAUUGGACAAUGGAUGGAAAUCUGAUCCAGCCAUGCCGCGUGCAGGAAGACAGCCCUAUGGGUUGUAAACUGCUUUUAUAUGGGAGCAAUAAGGUCUACGUGUAGACUGAUGAGAGUACCAUAUGAAUAAGCAUCGGCUAACUCCGUGCCAGCAGCCGCGGUAAUACGGAGGAUGCGAGCGUUAUCCGGAUUUAUUGGGUUUAAAGGGUGCGUAGGCGGCCGAGUAAGUCAGCGGUGAAAUUUUGCAGCUUAACUGUAACAGUGCCGUUGAUACUGCAUGGCUAGGAUUUGGUUGCUGUGGGUGGAAUGUGUGGUGUAGCGGUGAAAUGCUUAGAUAUCACACAGAAUAUCAAUUGCGAAGGCAGCUCACAAAGCCAAGAUUGACGCUGAGGCACGAAAGUGUGGGGAUCAAACAGGAUUAGAUACCCUGGUAGUCCACACUGUAAACGAUGAUAACUCACUGCCGGCGAUACACAGUCGGUGGCCAAGCGAAAGCGAUAAGUUAUCCACCUGGGGAGUACGACCGCAAGGUUGAAACUCAAAGGAAUUGACGGGGGCCCGCACAAGCGGAGGAACAUGUGGUUUAAUUCGAUGAUACGCGAGGAACCUUACCCGGGCUUGAAUUGCAACUGAAUGAUGUGGAGACAUUUCAGCCGCAAGGCAGUUGUGAAGGUGCUGCAUGGUUGUCGUCAGCUCGUGCCGUGAGGUGUCGGCUUAAGUGCCAUAACGAGCGCAACCCUUGUUGUUAGUUACCAACAGGUAAAGCUGGGGACUCUAACGAGACUGCCACCGUAAGGUGUGAGGAAGGGGGGGAUGACGUCAAAUCAGCACGGCCCUU
rnacentral:rRNA from 1 species